rnacentral:rRNA from 1 species
UACGUAGGGUGCGAGCGUUAAUCGGAAUUACUGGGCGUAAAGCGUGCGCAGGCGGUUUUGUAAGCCAGAUGUGAAAUCCCCGGGCUUAACCUGGGAAUGGCAUUUGGGACUGCAAGGCUUGAGUGCGGCAGAGGAGACUGGAAUUCCUGGUGUAGCGGUGAAAUGCGCAGAUAUCAGGAGGAACACCGAUGGCGAAGGCAGGUCUCUGGGCUGUAACUGACGCUGAGGAGCGAAAGCAUGGGGAGCGAACAGG